AUGCCUUAUCGGGCAGCUUCCGGGAAACCAAAGUUUUUGAAUUCCGGGGGAAGUAUGGUUGCAAAGCUGAAACUUAAAGGAAUUGACGGAAGGGCACCACCAGGAGUGGAGCCUGCGGCUUAAUUUGACUCAACACGGGAAACCUCACCAGGCCCGGACACUGGUAAGGAUUGACAGAUUGAGAGCUCUUUCUUGAUUCAGUAGGG
rnacentral:ncRNA from 1 species